rnacentral:rRNA from 1 species
CAGUCGCCACGGUAAUACGAAGGGUGCAAGCGUUAAUCGGAAUUACUGGGCGUAAAGCGUGCGUAGGCGGUGAGUUAAGUCUGCUGUGAAAUCCCCGGGCUCAACCUGGGAAUGGCAGUGGAUACUGGCUCGCUAGAGUGUGUCAGAGGAUGGUGGAAUUCCCGGUGUAGCGGUGAAAUGCGUAGAGAUCGGGAGGAACAUCAGUGGCGAAGGCGGCCAUCUGGGACAACACUGACGCUGAGGCACGAAAGCGUGGGGAGCAAACAGGAUUAGAUACCCCCGUAGUCCCUGUCUCUUAUAU